GGGAGCUCUCCCAUAUGGUCGACCUGCAGGCGGCCGCGAAUUCACUAGUGAUUCGUAUUACCGCGGCUGCUGGCACGUAGUUAGCCGGUGCUUAUUCUUACGGUACCGUCAUGGACCCCAGGUAUUAACCAGAGUCUUUUCGUUCCGUACAAAAGCAGUUUACAACCCGAAGGCCUUCAUCCUGCACGCGGCAUGGCUGGAUCAGGCUUUCGCCCAUUGUCCAAAAUUCCCCACUGCUGCCUCCCGUAGGAGUCUGGGCCGUGUCUCAGUCCCAGUGUGGCUGGUCGUCCUCUCAGACCAGCUACAGAUCGUCGGCUUGGUAAGCUUUUAUCCCACCAACUACCUAAUCUGCCAUCGGCCGCUCCGUUCGCGCAAGGCCUUGCGGUCCCCUGCUUUCAUCCGUAGAUCUUAUGCGGUAUUAGCAAAGCUUUCGCUUCGUUAUCCCCCACGAUCGGGCACGUUCCGAUGUAUUACUCACCCGUUCGCCACUCGUCAGCAUCCGAAGACCUGUUACCGUUCGACUUGCAUGUGUUAAGCCUGCCGCCAGCGUUCAAUCUGAGCCAUGAUCAAACUCUAAUCGAAUUCCCGCGGCCGCCAUGGCGGCCGGGAGCAUGCGAC
rnacentral:rRNA from 1 species